rnacentral:rRNA from 1 species
GGGACCCGCACAAGCGGUGGAUGAUGUGGUAUUAAUUCGAUGCAACGCGAAAAACCUUACCUACCCUUGACAUGUCCGGAAUCCCGAAGAGAUUUGGGAGUGCUCGCAAGAGAACCGGAACACAGGUGCUGCAUGGCUGUCGUCAGCUCGUGUCGUGAGAUGUUGGGUUAAGUCCCCGCAACGAGCGCAACCCUUGUCAUUAGUUGCUACAUUUGGUUGGGCACUCUAAUGAGACUGCCGGUGACAAGCCGGAGGAAGGUGGGGAUGACGUCAAGUCCUCAUGGCCCUUAUAGGUGGGGCUACACACGUCAUACAAUGGCUGGUACAAAGGGUUGCCAACCCGCGAGGGGGAGCUAAUCCCACAAAGCCAGUCGUAGUCCGGAUCGUAGUCUGCAACUCGACUACGUGAAGUCGGAAUCGCUAGUAAUCGUGGAUCAGAAUGUCACGGUGAAUACGUUCCCGGGUCUU